rnacentral:rRNA from 1 species
UACGGAGGGUGCGAGCGUUAUUCGGAAUCACUGGGCGUAAAGGGCGCGUAGGCGGCCUGGUAAGUCAGGGGUGAAAUCCCACGGCUCAACCGUGGAAUUGCCUUUGAAACUGCUGGGCUUGGAUCCUGGAGAGGGUGGCGGAAUUCCUGGUGUAGGAGUGAAAUCCGUAGAUAUCGGGAGGAAGGCCGGUGGCGAAGGCGGCCUCCUGGGCCUGCACUGACGCUGAGGCGCGAAAGCGUGGGGAGCAAACAGG